rnacentral:tRNA from 1 species
UCCGAAAUAGCUCAGUUGGGAGAGCGUUAGACUGAAGAUCUAAAGGUCUCGGGUUCGAUCCCCUGCUUCGGCA